rnacentral:misc_RNA from 1 species
GAAGUGCGAUAAGCAAUGCGAAUUGCAGAAUUCCGCGAAUCAUCAGAUCUUUGAACGCAAAUGGCGUCAGAGGGAUAUCCUUCUGGCAUGUCUGUUUCAGUGUCUGAGAGGUUUCACACUAAUCUUAAUGUGAUUGAACUGAGCUUGUGUUUCUUUACAGUUACACUUUGCUCUCUUCUCUCAUGAAAGAUGCGCGAGGGGAUCUUUCGGUCCAAUGAAGUGGUCACAUCACUCGAAUGUGAUUUCAUUGGAAGCACCGAAUUAUCAAUUAAACUCGUGGUAUCACAUAUAUUAAAUUUUUCUAGUUUCAUUACUGGGAAGAUUUUACUCUCUACACCCUGCAUCUGAGACAGGCAAGAUCACCCGCUGAACUUAA